UACGUAGGGGGCAAGCGUUGUCCGGAUUUAUUGGGCGUAAAGAGCGUGUAGGCGGUUCGGUAGGUCCGUUGUGAAAACUCGAGGCUCAACCUCGAGACGCCGAUGGAAACCAUCGAACUAGAGUCCGGAAGAGGAGAGUGGAAUUCCUGGUGUAGCGGUGAAAUGCGCAGCUAUCAGGAAGAACACCCGUGGCUAAGGCGGCUCUCUAGUACGGUACUGACGCUGAGACGCGAAAGCGUGGGGAGCGAACAGG
rnacentral:rRNA from 1 species